AUCUAACUGACGAGUCUCAAAUAGGACGAAACGUGCGUCCUGGAU
rnacentral:hammerhead_ribozyme from 1 species